GAUGAACGCUAGCGGCAGGCCUAAUACAUGCAAGUCGAGGGGUAGAUGGAGCUUGCUCCAUUGAGACCGGCGCACGGGUGCGUAACGCGUAUGCAACCUACCCUUUUCUGGGGGAUAGCCCGGAGAAAUCCGGAUUAAUACCGCAUGAAACCACAGUCCUUCAUGGACAAUGGUCAAACAUUUAUGGGAAAAGGAUGGGCAUGCGUGCCAUUAGCUAGUUGGCGGGGUAACGGCCCACCAAGGCGACGAUGGCUAGGGGAUCUGAGAGGAUGGCCCCCCACACUGGUACUGAGACACGGACCAGACUCCUACGGGAGGCAGCAGUAAGGAAUAUUGGUCAAUGGGGGCAACCCUGAACCAGCCAUGCCGCGUGCAGGACGACGGCCCUCCGGGUUGUAAACUGCUUUUGUACGGGAAUAAACCUGCGUUCGUGAACGUAGCUGAAUGUACCGUAAGAAUAAGGAUCGGCUAACUCCGUGCCAGCCGCCGCCGUAA
rnacentral:rRNA from 1 species